rnacentral:lncRNA from 1 species
UGAGAAUGGUUUAGUUUCUUGGUUUUUCAGUCUUGGAGUUGUUUUUUAUAUAUGGUCGAAUGAGAUAAAGUAGGAUGUACUUGGUUUUGUUCAGAGAGGGGCUCAAAAUAGCUGCUUAUCGCAGAUUACUGUUGUAUAUUUCAACCUCGUUGAAACAAUAAAUUGAAAUCCACCUCUGGUUUAUUUUGUAUGCCAUUUUUGCAUAUAAGAUGGUAUUAACACUACCAAUACUUAUACAUAAAUUGAAUGUGACUUUAAUAAAAAAGAAUAUGAUGAUCAGCGGGCUUAUGUAAGAAGCAACAUUAUGAACUGCCUCAACACCAUGCAUGGGGUCAUUGUAUUUUUAGGAUUAAUAGUGACUUGCCUUCCAUGCCUUGUAGGCAAUGUCUGUGUCUGGGGAAUAGUCGAUGAAAAGCAAAAUCAGUACGAAUUAUCAAAAACUGUAUGAAGCCAUUAUAAACAUUAGAAUUAUGUGCCCCAGAAAAAAAAAAAAAAACAAAAACUACUAGCAAAAACUAAAAUAGAAAAUUCACUUCCCAAAUAAGACGAUCAUUUGCAUUUCAGCUCCUUCAUUGAAUGAGUUAGUUAGUAUAUUGACCGAACAAUGAAAAUGAAAAUCGUUCUUUCCCAUGGCAAGCUCUCUUGAAUCUUAAUUCUAGCUCUCGCCUCUCAUCCUCCACGGACGAUUUCCUAGCAAUCAACCCAUCAAUCUCUCUUAUUUUUGUAGCUAACUGUGCCUCCAACUCACCACACACAGUCUCAUGUGCCUCAAACUCUGAACGGAUCUGUGCACAGCUAUCACGAAACCAGGCAACUUUUAAACCUGUUAACUCAUAAAUUUGAGCCCUAGUCUCCCAACCAGUGAAUAACUCCUGAUUCACACUACUUGGAGUUGCAGCUAGCAACAUCUCAACAUCACUCAACAAACCAGCUAAAAGAGAAGGUAGAAUAUCCCCAACACUAGACAACUUGCCAUUCUGCUUUGGCAUAAACUCACCAAAUUUCCGAACCAACUGCAGAUACAAGCUUUUGUGACUCAAUGGUACCUGCACACCACCUACAGAAAUGAACCUGGCUACCUGCAGCGUUGGCUUAUUCAUAAGCGGGAGCUGGAUACCCUCUGCAUCUGGUGCAGGACGCUUUGAAUCCUUGUAUUGGGCAGCUCUCUCCACAAUGUUUUCCAGUAUUAUAUUUGUCAUUAUAUCCGUAUGCCCCAUCUGUGUGUUACUCCUUCUGGCACCUAUAUCUGGAGUCUCAAAGCUCUCUUCAUCACUCUCAUGCUCACAUUGAGUUUCAACAGAAUUGUCGCCUGUCUCUGCUCCACGUAACACACUAUCUUGAAAUAUUCUAGUAACAGAUUUUGCUGGAUCUAACAAGUCUCCACUCAUCCCAAUUGCUCCCUCAUGUGAAGUAAAUCCAUCACAUCUACCCAUUAUAUCCAUAUCCCCAUCACUUUCACUGUCAGCAUUCUUCCCCAAGGCUUUCUUCAUAACAUCAAAAUCCUGUUCUGGUACUUGCAUGACAUCCCUCUCACUCCUCUCGCUCUCACUAGACAAUCGGACCACCUUGCUACGCAUUCUCUGGCGUAGGCUUGUGCUGUUAAUCUCCACAUCGUGAUCAUCAUCAUCCUCAUCCAUGUCCUUGGAAUCCCAAGGAGGUGUUAAUGCCUGCACCCCCUUAGGGUCCAUUUUCCCACAUGACAUAACAAAAUUCAAUGAUCCACGACUCUCUUCACUUUCACUAGACAAUUGAAACACUUUACCAUACAUUCUGUUGCACCUUCUAUGUUCAGACACUAUUCUCUUCUUUGAGUCAUUUUUUCCCUUCCCACCACAUUUAACCUCACUCCUUCUGAAUUUUAACGUAGGCCAGUUCUGCAACUCAUCAGUCCUUAUACUCUGAAUUGGUUCAGAAGGCUCCCUCAAAAAUGUAUGCACCUCCUCAACCACUUUUCCCCACCAGUGGUGAGCAUUUGGAUGUACAUAUGAAUGUCGACUAUCUGACAAAAGUGAAACAACAGUCUCAUCUACCCGAACACCAAUGUCAUCAAGUUUAAAGGCGUCCAGGCACUCCUUAGCCGACGCAAGUGAAGGUGGACCCAAUGGCAAACCCCGGUCAAAGCCUAGCUGCAUUGCAAAACGAUCUGGAUAAUAACCUAAGCUACAAAACUUAUUUUUAAUUAACGACACAAUUCCACUUGGUGCCAUGAAUAACAAACACAUCACCUCCACAUCACUCCAUUGCCCUUGUUUCACCCCUGUAGGUACCUUUAUGUAUGGUCUAAAAUCGAUAGAACUCCAAUCAUCCAACACCUCAAGGAGUGGCACAUCCAGUACCCUCACCCCACACCACUGCCAGGCACGACAAUGUUGUGCCUUGACGCAUUGCUUCACAUAUGUGCCAUCAUUGUCUCUUUCCAUCUCUUUUAAAACAGAUCCAAAUCUUCUCGGUUCCGGUGCAUAACAAAUUAAAUGCUCCCAUGCCCACAAUUGGAGGAAUGGUCCACACAUAUAAGUCACAAUGUCAAACUUCCCAUUUGACACGGGCAUGGCUGAAGUCAACUCAUCUAAGCGUGCAUACAUAGUCCCCAAAAACAUCAUUGCCAACGGAAACCUACACCCUUGAGCCAUCUUAACUGCCAUGGGAAAUAAGAAGUCAUGAACCUUCUCAUGUGGGGCAUCUUCAAAAAGGUAUCGAGACAACCACAUGGCAAUCAAAGCCUCUAAGUUAUGGUCAGAAUUCCUCCCUAGACCAUAUUCCCAAUGACCUUUCAUCUGUUUACCCUUCUUAACCAUUUUACCCUUCUCACCGACCUUAUCAUCAUUGGUUACAUAUUCCCCAUAGUAAUGUCGUAUCCACCCUGCAAAACUGGAUUUCUUAGAAAUUCGAUUUUGCGAAGUCCUUGGGUUCUUCCUUGCAAAUUUUAUCCCCUUUUUCAAACCAUGCACCAAAUUCUUUUCGUUGUUGCUCAGAUUGAUCUUAUAUGGUGAAUAGGUACCACAUAUAGGAAGUUCAUACAAAACAACAACAUCCUCCAAAGACACUGAUAGCUCUCCCCAUGCAGCCACGAAAGUGUGUGUGUUGGGAGACCAUCUAGAGCACAAGUCAAGCAGCCCACUGUUGUCUUUGUCUACCUACAGUUGAGUACUCAAACAAAUAGCUCUGUAAAUACCUGCGUUCUUCAAUCUAUCCGGCCUUAACGUACACCCUUCUUGCCUAGUGAAUGCGUGACCCAUUCACUCCAUCCCCUCGAAACCUUGGAAUGUGACCCCCAUUGAACAAAUGAACGAGAGCAAUCACCUCGCAAUUCUCUAAAUGCGAAACACUUAUCAAUUUGUGGAGAAAGAGGCAGUGAUGAAUCUCCAAUUUCAAGAAACCGCCAACAAUGAUCACCAGGGGCUUCUUCAUAUGUUGUUUGUCGAGCCUUGACGACAAAAUCACUAACCCCAUGACCACAAACAAUUUCAUGAUCAUCCCCACAUUGGUUGUCAUCACUAUAAACAUAGUUACGUUUACCUAGAUAGAAAAAUUAUCAAAUUAGAAAAAAAUAUGUUAAAAUAAAUUUACACAUAUAAGAGAUGAAUUCCAAAGAUCACAACCUUCUACAACAUUGUUUGGAUUACACAAACCAACAUUUGCACGGAUUAAUUAAAUUUAUUUGUUCUAAAGCUCAUUUCCAUUACUCCCUCCGUCCCAAAUUAUAAGUACCUUUUGGAAUAUUCUACUUAUUAAGGAAAAAUCAUUUAUUGUUUGUUUACUAACUCUAUUUUCUAAUUUACCCCUAUUUAAUACUAAUUACAAUGUCUAACUUUUCAUUAGAAUAAUUACUCUAAUCUCAAAGCAAGGGUAGUAUGGACAAAUGAACCAUUUAACUUAAUUAAUAUGCGUUGAAAAGUCAAAAAUGACAUAUAUUUUGGGACAAUCUAAAUGGAAUAAGGUACUUAUAAUUUGAGACAGAGGGAGUAUAAUUUAUAAAGUAAUACAUUGAUUGAAUGAUUGUGCACAUAAGCUUAACAUAAAUACAUAACAAUUUGAUGAUCACAUUUUACCUCUAGGAAUUUUUUUUUCCAAGAUGGAUGGCUUCAUCUUCUCGAUCACCAAUACCUUUACCCAUGUUCUUCUAAUCUUAUGAGAAGAAGAGAUUACUGUAGCUACACUUCUUCUAAACUUGCAAGAGAAGUUUUUUUAAGGUUUUUCAGAACUACAAUAGAGGAAAAAAUCAUUGUGGCUACAGUACUACUGUACUAGUUCACCAAAAGAAAUACAGUACCUUUUCUGGAGUCAAAGAAAUAUGCAAGACUUUUCGUUGGAUCAUAUUACAGGUAAAGGCCCACGCCCACGCUAAGGUCCACGAACAUCAAAGCCUGACUGCAGGGCAAAGCGAGGAACAAUAAACCAACAACAACAAAAGAAAAAAAAAUAAAUAAAUAAAGGGCUGCGCGCUUGUCCUCUAGUUCUGUGUAAUUUUUCUUUUAUCAAUAAAAAAUUUUACAAAAAAAAAAAUAUGUAUUUAGAAAAGUCGGGUUUGCUAUCCAGAAAGGACUUGUCGCGUAGUUUGUAGCGCGUUUGUCCUCUACUUUUGUGUAAUUCGUUGAGCUUAUCAAUAAAAAUAAAUAAAUAAAUAAAUAAAUAAAUAAUUUAUGUAUAAACAUUAAAACAAUAAAUGUGGAAUAAUAUGUUUGUUUGUUGGGAAUCUCUCUUGUCCAAAGAUUAACAACCGGUAAGAAUUUUGGUUUAUAGAAUCAAGAGUUUGGUAAUUAUAUAUAACUAGAAAGUUGAAAGUAGUAGUAGCAAAACUAGAUGUUGUUAAGUGAGAGUGGAGAUUGUUUCGACAACCAAUUAAACUCUAAAAAUAGCCAAGUUUGGUUUUGCAGUUUAAAAACACUUUUUUUUCUUGUGUGUAUAAACAGACCUCUUCAACUAAAAACUGUAUGUCGUACAUGUACUCAAAAAUAUAUAUGAAUGAAGAUGAAUACCAGCAGAUCGCCAAAAGACGAGGAAUCAACCAUGCCUGCAAGGGGAAACAAUUAUAGAGAAAUACACCUUCAAACAAAGUCCCAUAAUGACAACCACCCCGAUUAUAACAAACUUUACUACGAUCCUGAACGUGCAACCGGUGGUCGCCUUGUGCUCAUUGUUAUAUUAUCCCUUCUUGUCAUCGCUAGUGUACUCACUUCCAUUGCUACCGUCUAUUUUGCCCCUAAACCUCCCAUAAUUUUUCUCAAAACAGCUUUGGCUUCUGGCUUUGAAUUCCCCUCUUCUCCAUAUAAUGGCACUUUGAAUGUUACCGCUUUGUUUAAAAACCCCAACAGUGGUACGUCUAUCCUAUAUGAGCCCACAGACAUUUUCUUGAGGUAUGUAAAUGGACAUCAAGAUCUCGCUAAUAAAACAAUUGCCGGUUUCGAACAGAAUAAAAAAAAUUCGACUUUAAUUCAAGCAGAGUUUGUGAUUUCAACUGGUGAGGAUGAUAGAAUUGCACAAGAUCAUAAGCUUGGGUUUGCGCAUUUCCAACUUCUAUUUCAUUUUCAUUUAUAUUAUAAAUCUGGUCUACAUACGUCAAGAAAGAGUUUCCGUGUAGGUGGCUGCAGUAAUGUAGUGAUUGAUUUCAAUUCAACAGUUGGUACUUUGUUUGGGGAAGAUGCAGGAUGUCAUGUUAAUAAUGGUGCGAUCCUUGCUUAGAUGGAAGAUACCUGAAUCAAAAAAUUAACUUUUUAAUUUUGUAAUUUAACAUCAAUGCAUUUGCGUGCUUUUUAAGCGUUAAUGUUCAGAGCAUUUUCUUUGUGGCUUAAUUAAUUUCACCUUGAUGGCUUCACAUAUGUAUCUUACAAAAUUUUGUAAAUAACUUUACAAGUGAAAAAAUAAAUGAAUAUCAAUUAGCAAAACUUAAAUUAUAAAUCCUAUAUCAAUAUUCAUAUGACUACAAAAUUGUUAGAUUGAAUAUGAGAUUUUUAGAAAUGGGAAGAAUAAAAGAAAAUCAAAUAACCUAUGAUAUUGAACCAAAACCAUUAUGCAUUUGAUGCGACUGAUACCAAAUGAAAGAAUGAAAUUAUACUUAAUGAAAAAACUAAAUAAACUUAGAUAAAUCAAAUAUGUACGGGAUCGAAUAUGCAUAAGGUAUUGGUCACAAAAUAAAAUAAUGUAAAAAUAUACAAAAUAUACAUACUUUUAUAUCUUCUACAUUCAAUAAAACCAUAGCUUAACUUCUCUCAAUUUCUCCUUAAAUCUACUUAGGUGAUGGUCCCUAUAAUUGUAGAUAUUGAGUAUUGAGGGGAGCUAUGGAGUCAUCUACUUAUAUAGUCUUCCAUCAAGACCUUUGUGUUCUUCACAAUAAUGAACAUUACUAAUAAUGGAGAUUAAUAAUACAUAAUUUAUAUUAGAAUCCGAAAAACCAAAAGACUUAUCAAUUAAAUUGGACUUAAACAAAUGGUUAUUGGCACACAAUUCUAACAUAGAUUGCAUGGUCUAAAAUCAAUAAAAUUUGUGAGACAAAGAAGUUUGGUUUUCUUCUUGUUCAACUCUGAAGCAAUCAAUUUCUCCAUGUUUUUAGCUAUAACAGUGGAUGAGAUUCAAUAGAUAUUCUCUCCUCUUGAAUAUGAUCAUUUUCCUUUUCUGGUCAUAUACAUGUCAAUGUUGUUGUAAAUUAAGCAAAUCUAUGCUAUUUUCCAGGCACAAAAUUUGAUGUCCAAACAAUCACUAAUUUCAAUGAUAAUUGCUUAAAAUUAGAUAAUAAUGGUUGAAAGGAAUAUGUAUAUAAGCAAGGCAAUGAGAAGAAAAAUGGUAAGUGGUUUUGAAGAUUUUUUUGUCAUCAUCUUUAAAGCCACUUGCUUGAUAAGUGUUCAUCUUGUCUCUCAUUCCUGCAGCUCAGGUCUAACAAUGGCUUCAUCUACUUUCGGCAGAUGGAUGAAACCUGAGGUAAUUUUAUAUGAACCCCCGUUGUCAAAUCUUAGAAAUCUUAGAUGAACAUAUAUAUAUAUAUAUAUAUAGGUUUACCCACUUCUUGUUCCAAUCUUUGGAGCUGUUGGCAUUUGCGGCAUGCAGUUGUGGCGAAACAUCCACACCAACCCUGAAGUGCGGUAAGCUUGGUGCGCCUCCAAAACAUAGACACAUUUCAUACUGCAAUGUUGAUAACUCUGUAGAAAUUUAUUUUUUACCAUACCUCUAUCGAAAUAUAACCGCACUACUGAAUUUCAUCAGACUUAGAGGUCUUUGACAUUGUUUUGACAAUCUAAACUCGACUUUCUUUCAGGGUCAGCAAAGAAAAAAGAGCUGCAGGGGUGCUUGAUAACUUCGCAGAGGGUGAGAGAUACAAGGAACAUUUUUUCAGGAAAUAUGUCCGAAACCAAUCCACUGAGAUCAUGCCAUCUGUUAACCAAUUCUUCGCAGGGCCAAAACAAAGCAAAGCCUGAGAAUGGUUUAGUUUCUUGGUUUUUCAGUCUUGGAGUUGUUUUUUAUAUAUGGUCGAAUGAGAUAAAGUAGGAUGUACUUGGUUUUGUUCAGAGAGGGGCUCAAAAUAGCUGCUUAUCGCAGAUUACUGUUGUAUAUUUCAACUUCAUUGAAACAAUAAAUUGAAAUCCACCUCUGGUUUAUUUUGUAUGCCAUUUUUGCAUAUAAGAUGGUAUUAACACUACCAAUACUUAUACAUAAAUUGAAUGUGACUUUAAUAAAAAAGAAUAUGAUGAUCAGCG